CCUACGUGAGGCAGCAGUCGAGAAUCAUUCACAAUGGGGGAAACCCUGAUGGUGCGACGCCGCGUGGGGGAAUGAAGGUCUUCGGAUUGUAAACCCCUGUCAUGUGGGAGCAAAUUAAAAAGAUAGUACCACAAGAGGAAGAGAUGGCUAACUCUGUGCCAGCAGCCGCGGUAAUACAGCGGUAUCAAGCGUUGUUCGGAACCACUGGGCGUAAAGAGUGCGUAGGCUGUUUCGUAAGUCGUGUGUGAAAGGGGCGGGCUCAACCCGCGGACGGCACAUGAUAAUGCGAGACUAGAGUAAUGGAGGGGGAACCGGAAGUCUCGGUGUAGCAGUGAAAUGCGUAGAUAGCGAGAGGAACACUCGUGGCGAAGGCGGGUUCCUGGACAUUAACUGACGCUGAGGCACGAAGGCCAGGGGAGCGAAAGGGAUUAGAUACCCGGGUAGUC
rnacentral:rRNA from 1 species